UCGAGAAUCUUCGGCAAUGGGCGCAAGCCUGACCGAGCGACGCCGCGUGCGGGAUGAAGGCCUUCGGGUUGUAAACCGCUGUCAGUGGGGAGGAAAUGCCGGGGGGUUCACCCCUCGGUUUGACCUAUCCGCAGAGGAAGGACGGGCUAAGUUCGUGCCAGCAGCCGCGGUAAGACGAACCGUCCAAACGUUAUUCGGAAUCACUGGGCUUAAAGGGUGCGUAGGCGGCCUGGCAAGUCGGGUGUGAAAGCCCUCGGCUCAACCGAGGAAUUGCGCCAGAAACUGCCGGGCUCGAGGAAGGCAGAGGUGAGCGGAACUUAGGGUGGAGCGGUGAAAUGCGUUGAUAUCCUAAGGAACACCAGUAGCGAAAGCGGCUCACUGGGCCUUUUCUGACGCUGAGGCACGAAAGCUAGGG
rnacentral:rRNA from 1 species